rnacentral:rRNA from 1 species
AGCAGUAGCCGCGGUAAUACGAAGGGUGCAAGCGUUAAUCGGAAUUACUGGGCGUAAAGCGCGCGUAGGCGGUGAGUUAAGUCUGCUGUGAAAUCCCCGGGCUCAACCUGGGGACUGCAUUUGAUACGUACGGGCUUGAGUGGAGAAGAGGGUUGUGGAAUUUCCAGUGUAGAGGUGAAAUUCGUAGAUAUUGGAAAGAACACCGGUGGCGAAGGCGGCAACCUGGUCUUUAACUGACGCUGAGGCGCGAAAGCGUGGGGAGCAAACAGGAUUAGAUACCCCCGUAGUCCCUGUCUCUUAUAC